rnacentral:rRNA from 1 species
AGAGUUUGAUCAUGGCUCAGAGUGAUCGCUGGCGGCGUGCUUAACACAUGCAAGUCGAGCGGAUUUCUGCAGUGCAUCGCAGGAAUUAGCGGCAGACGGGUGAGUAAUACUUGGGCAAUCUGCCCUUGAGUGGGAAACAACCGGCCGAAAGGCUGGCUAAUGUCCCAUAAGACCACAGGAUGGCAUCAUCCAGGGGUCAAAGCUCCGUAAGGGGCGCUUGAGGAGGAGCCUGAGUCCUAUCAUGGUAGUUGGUGAGGUAACGGCUCACCAAGCCUUUGACGGGUAGCCGGCCUGAAAGGGUGAUCGGCCACACUGGCACUGAGACACGGGCCAGACUCCUACGGGAGGCAGCAGUGGGGAAUUUUGGACAAUGGGGGCAACCCUGAUCCAGCGACGCCGCGUGAAGGAUGAAGGUCUUCGGAUUGUAAACUUCUUUUGGAGGGGAUGAAUGCCUGAGUGAAUAACUCAGGGUGACAGUACUCUCGGAAUAAGCCACGGCUAACUACGUGCCAGCAGCCGCGGUAAUACGUAGGUGGCAAGCGAUACUCGGAAUCACUAGGCGUAAAGCGCAGGUAGGCGGUUUGGUAAGUCUUUUGUGAAAGCUCCUGGCUCAACUGGGAGAGGUCAAGGGAAACUACCGGACUAGAGUGUGGUAGGGGAUACUGGAAUUCCUGGUGUAGCGGUGAAAUGCGUAGAUAUCAGGAGGAAUACCUAUGGCGAAAGCAGGUAUCUGGGCCAUCACUGACGCUGAGCUGCGAAAGCUAGGGGAGCAAACAGGAUUAGAUACCCUAGUAGUCC